rnacentral:rRNA from 1 species
GAUGAACGCUGGCGGCGUGCCUAAUACAUGCAAGUCGAGCGAACGGACGAGAAGCUUGCUUUUCUGAUGUUAGCGGCGGACGGGUGAGUAACACGUGGAUAACCUACCUAUAAGACUGGGAUAACUUCGGGAAACCGGAGCUAAUACCGGAUAAUAUUUUGAACCGCAUGGUUCAAAAGUGAAAGACGGUCUUGCUGUCACUUAUAGAUGGAUCCGCGCUGCAUUAGCUAGUUGGUAAGGUAACGGCUUACCAAGGCAACGAUGCAUAGCCGACCUGAGAGGGUGAUCGGCCACACUGGAACUGAGACACGGUCCAGACUCCUACGGGAGGCAGCAGUAGGGAAUCUUCCGCAAAGGGCGAAAGCCUGACGGAGCAACGCCGCGUGAGUGAUGAAGGUCUUCGGAUCGUAAAACUCUGUUAUUAGGGAAGAACAUAUGUGUAAGUAACUGUGCACAUCUUGACGGUACCUAAUCAGAAAGCCACGGCUAACUACAUG